AGUCCAUGGUGAGGGCAUUGGCAUAAUAGACUUUUGAAUCUAUCUCAAGCUUCAUAGAUAGAUUCUCUAUAUUUUUGUAUGAAACUUGAGAUUAGGUUCCUCAUAUG